rnacentral:misc_RNA from 1 species
GAUGAAGAACGUAGCGAAAUGCGAUACGUAAUGUGAAUUGCAGAAUUCAGUGAAUCAUCGAAUCUUUGAACGCACAUUGCGCCCGCCAGCACUCUGGCGGGCAUGCCUGUUCGAGCGUCAUUUCAACCAUCAAGCCCCAGGCUUGCGUUGGAGCCCUGCGGCUGCCGCAGCCUCCUAAAAGCAGUGGCGGGCUCGCUAUCACACCGAGUGCAGUAGAUUACUCUUCGCUCAGGGCGUGCAGCGGGUUCCGGCCGUGAAACCCCCUACUUUUAAAGGUUGACCUCAAAUCAGGUAAGACUACCCGCUGAACUUAAGCAUAUCAAUAAGCGGAGGA